GGUUCGGCGUGCAAGUGUGGCGACACAUUCAGCGGACGAAUACUAAUCGAUCGAUGACUUAUUCAAA
rnacentral:rRNA from 1 species